rnacentral:rRNA from 1 species
CGCCCUUAGAGUUUGAUCAUGGCUCAGAUUGAACGCUGGCGGCAGGCUUAACACAUGCAAGUCGAGCGGUAGGAGAGCUUGCUCUCUACGAGCGGCGGACGGGUGAGUAAUGUCUGGGAAACUGCCUGAUGGAGGGGGAUAACUACUGGAAACGGUAGCUAAUACCGCAUAAUGUCGCAAGACCAAAGAGGUUCGUCUUGCCAUCAGAUGUGCCCAGAUGGGAUUAGCUAGUAGGUGGGGUAAUGGCUCACCUAGGCGACGAUCCCUAGCUGGUCUGAGAGGAUGACCAGCCACACUGGAACUGAGACACGGUCCAGACUCCUACGGGAGGCAGCAGUGGGGAAUAUUGCACAAUGGGCGCAAGCCUGAUGCAGCCAUGCCGCGUGUAUGAAGAAGGCCUUAGGGUUGUAAAGUACUUUCAGCGAGGAGGAAGGCGUUGUAUAAUUGCAACGAUUGACGUUACUCGCA